AGAGAGAGACAUGCGCGCAUAUCAAUAAGCGGAGGAAAAGAAACUAACAAGGAUUCCCCUAGUAACGGCGAGUGAAGCGGGAAGAGCUCAAAUUUGAAAUCUUAAAGGGUUUCCCUUUACGAAUUGUAGUUUAAAGAAGUGUUUUCUGUUGAGGUUUUGGUAAAAGUUCUUUGGAAUAGGACAUUCAUAGAGGGUGAGAAUCCCGUAUUUGACCUUUACUUUCAACUUUGUGAUACACUUUCAAAGAGUCGGAUUGUUUGGGAAUGCAGUCCAAAAUGGGUGGUAAAUUUCAUCUAAAGCUAAAUAUUGGCGAGAGACCGAUAGCGAACAAGUACCGUGAGGGAAAGAUGAAAAGAACUUUGAAAAGAGAGUUAAACAGUACGUGAAAUUGUCAAAAGGGAAGCGUUUGACGCCAGUGUUGUUUUUCUGAAAAUCAAUUAAAGAACUGUUUAUGCUAAGUUGUUUAGACUUUAUCAGCUAACUGUUUAGUUUUGAGCUUUUCUUUAAUGCACUUUUCAGUUAACAAGUCAACAUCAAUUUCUUUUGCUGUAAAAAAGCUUGAGGAAGGUGGCUUGAGAUUCGUCUUAAGUGUUUAUAGCCUCUUGCCUAUGCAGUCGGAGAGAUUGAGGUCUGCAGCGUAGAUCCUUCGGGGCUAAAUGCAUUUGUGCUAAGUUAUAACAUUUUAUAGACAACUUGUUGACUAUGAUUUGUCUUGUAGCUUACUCGCUUAUGUUAUUUUACCUACGCUUAGGAUGUUGACGCAUGAGAUAUACGC
rnacentral:rRNA from 1 species